AAGCGGUGGAGCAUGUGGCUUAAUUCGAGGCUACGCGAAGAACCUUAUCCUAGACUUGACAUGUGCGAAAGCGCUAGGUAGUAGAACCCGGAAACGGGAACGAACCCCGCAAGGGGGAGCCUAGUACAGAUGCUGCAUGGCUGUCGUCAGCUCGUGUCGUGAGAUGUCGGGUUAAGUCCCAUAACGAGCGAAACCCUUACCCUCAGUUGCUAUUAUAGGACUCUGGGGGGACUGCCGGUGUCAAACCGGAGGAAGGUGGGGAUG
rnacentral:rRNA from 1 species